GAGAGAAUAUCUAAGCGGCUUAACGCAGCUGGUUGUAACCCGGCUCCCUUAUGGGUUCGUCGGUUCGAAUCGGUCUCUUCUCACCA
rnacentral:tRNA from 1 species